UCCCCUAGCUUUCGCUCCSUGAGUGUCAGWUAUGGCCCAGCAGAGCGCCUUCGCCACCGAUGUUCUUCCWGAUCUCUACACAUUUCACCGCUCCACCAGGAAUUCCCUCUGCCCCUACCAUACUCUAGCUGUUCAUUUUCCACUGCCUUUCCGAAGUUAACCCCCGGUCUUUGACGGMAAAYUUGAACUGCCACCUGCGGACGCUUUAMGCCAAAUCAUUCCGGAUAACGCUAGCVUCCUCCGUCUUACCGCRGCUGCUGGCACGAGAGUUCGCCGAUGCUGAUUCCUCUGGUACCGUCVGGUUGCUUUCACAACUUUCUUCCC
rnacentral:rRNA from 1 species